rnacentral:ncRNA from 1 species
UCUGGACCGGCACACGCACCGCCGGUGGCUAUCCUGGCCGCCCAUCCGCCAGGAAACC